UACGGGGGGGGUAAGCGUUGUUCGGAAUUACUGGGCGUAAAGGGCUCGUAGGCGGCCAACUAAGUCAUACGUGAAAUCCCUCAGCUUAACUGGGGAACUGCGUGUGAUACUGGAUGGCUUGGGAUUUGGGAGAGGGAUGCGGAAUUCCAGGUGUAGCGGUGAAAUGCGUAGAUAUCUGGAGGAACACCGGUGGCGAAGGCGGCAUCCUGGACCAAUAUUGACGCUGAGGAGCGAAAGCCAGGGGAGCAAAGCGGG
rnacentral:rRNA from 1 species